rnacentral:lncRNA from 1 species
GGUUAAUCCAAAUUCAAAAUAUUUUAAUAAAUUUUAAAAAAUAAGGAUCUAAAAAUCAAUAGAAUAUCUUUUAAAGGAUAACAGAUAUUAAAGCAGAUUCGAUCAAAAUUAACAUUCAUAUGGUAGAGGAAUAAAGAGAGAUAAAGGAUGGGUUUGGAUUGGAUCGGAUCAUUCAUCUUAAGAUCCAAAUUCAUCCAAAAGUCUCCAC